rnacentral:lncRNA from 1 species
AUGAGUCUUUGUUGCAAGAGAAUUAGGAUCCUAAUGUUGUGCACAUGGAGGAUCUGCAUAUUCAUAUGGUGAUUUGUAAAGAAUCAGGAUCCCAAUGUUGAGCAUUGUGCUAUAGUUGUUAGGAAGUUAGCAUCAGAUGGCGAGUAACUUUGUAAACUGUGUCCUAUACCACAAAUUUCACAUAUAUUUCCUGCUUUUUUUUU